GACGAACGCUGGCGGCGUGCUUAACACAUGCAAGUCGAACGCUGAAGCUCAGCUUGCUGGGUGGAUGAGUGGCGAACGGGUGAGUAACACGUGAGUAACCUGCCCUCUUCUUGGGAUAACGCCCGGAAACGGGUGCUAAUACUGGAUAUUCACUGAUUCUCGCAUGGGGGUUGGUGGAAAGGUUUUUUCUGGUGGGGGAUGGGCUCGCGGCCUAUCAGCUUGUUGGUGGGGUGAUGGCCUACCAAGGCUUUGACGGGUAGCCGGCCUGAGAGGGUGACCGGUCACAUUGGGACUGAGAUACGGCCCAGACUCCUACGGGAGGCAGCAGUGGGGAAUAUUGCACAAUGGGCGAAAGCCUGAUGCAGCGACGCCGCGUGAGGGAUGGAGGCCUUCGGGUUGUAAACCUCUUUCGCUCAUGGUCAAGCCGCAGCUUUGGGUUGUGGUGAGGGUAGUGGGUAAAGAAGCGCCGGCUAACUACGU
rnacentral:rRNA from 1 species